CGCAAGGUAAACAAAUACUGUAACAGUAAAUUAUUAAUAAAUCUUUUAUUAGUCGAGACAAUUCCGUACUUCGAUAGGCCUAGAGGUUCUGUCUGUCGAUGAUUGUUUUAAAGACCAAUUCGACAGAUUAAACGCAAAGAAGCUGCGAGAGGAAGGGGUAGAGCACAACCUGGGCGUGGAAAUGUUUUUCAGAAAAGACGGUGAAGUGUUUAAUUUAACAUGUGUACAUAAACAGUCUGUGUAAAGACUUAAGACUAUGAUGAGCAGUAAAAACUAUCAUUAUGAAGAGUUGAGAAUUCUUUUCCAAAUUUCAUUUUCAAAUGAAUUGAAAUGACCUGUAAUUGAAUACUGACAAAGUUAUAUUGAAUGAAUGUAGCGGAAUUGUAUUGUACUGUAAAGAAUUGCUGAAAUGAUUCUCUUUUAUGAACAUUCAUUAAAUGUUUUACUUUGUUAGUGGUAUAUUUUAUGUACAUCUAUGGUAGUAUACAUUGAUUAUAAUGUAAAGUGAUAGAAAAAGCCAUUAAAUGAACGGUAUGAAAAAAAUAACAAAAAUUAACACUAUAAGACCAAUGUGAUCUAAGUGUGGUAAGCUAUCAUAGGAUUUAAGUUUCAGCAAUCAUUGAAAUCUGCAGUUCUGUGUUUGGAAUGUAUUCCAUGUCCAGACAAGUAUUGUCAUCUAGUGUCUAAUCAGUUGUCACAUUUUUUUUAUUAUUGGCUUUAAAAAUGUUUCAGAAAAGAACAUUUUCAUGAAUGUGUAUAUAUAAUGCAUUUUUUGCAUCACAAUGUUAUCACUGUAAUCAUUAUUCAUUUGUAUAUUUUAUGCAUCAGGUAUGAUGUUGAACAUUUAAAAAUUGUAAACAAGA